GGUCCUCUCUCACUCUUCCUCGCUUAAAAGACUUCCCCACCUCCGCUGCAGAGGAGGGCGCUCACACACUCACAUAACUCCUCUCCCUGUCUCUGGCGCUGCAGCCAUUGAAGGACACGUGAGGGCGUGAGGUGCCGAGCGGCAACGGCGCCGUGUCUGGUGGGCCGUAUGCUAUUCCUGCUGCUCUCCUGUCAGUGUUUGUCUUUGCCCAGAGGAAUCGCAGCGCCAUGAGCACAUGCUCCGCAUCAUCCUUCAACGCUUAGCGGUGCAGCGCCGCAUUGCCGAGCAGCUGGAGGCGGUGCCGCUGGACGAGGUGCUGCGCCGCAUGCAGUCGAGCUCACUGACAAACCCCGCGCGCUCCCUCGAGGCCCACUUUGUAUUGGCCACAGAAAGCCGUGAUCAUGAGCGGGCUGCGCCAACAGCAGCCUCACCGUGCGCAGAGACCCUGAGGGAGCCUUCCGACGACCUGCUGCGCGACGCUCUCAGCGAGCGGCUGCUCGCCGAGGUGCGCCGAGAUCUCAGCUCGCCCACCAUCACCCUCGACGAUGGCGGCUUGAUGCUGGCCAACUGCCUACGACAUGGGCUUUCCCCUCUCGCCACCCAGCAGGUUUUUGCCCUCUGGCAACGGCGCAUGCAACACGCCACGAUUGGUGCGUCUUCCGCUGCAGCGCCCCGCACAUCCAUCUCGAUGCUUGGCAUGGGAAAGAGCAAAACCGCCUUCGCGCGCGCUGGUGGAGGCGCUGCCGGUGUGAGCGAUCUGGCACAGUUUCAGUCUCUCGUUCGCGUGAUGGAGGCGUGCCUUGAUGCUCAUGAUAAGCAGCAGCGGGAAUGCGGUCGCUCUCGGAAACGAACCUCCUCAGCAGCGGCAGCGGAUGCGCGGAAACUACAAUCGAAGAGCUCCAUCGCCUUCACCCUUGAUGACUUGGCGGCUCUGGUAGACACUGUGGAGCAGCACUGGAGGCUCUUUAUCGAUCACGGCACCUCGACGACAGGACUGCUCGUGCAGUUCACCGCGCUCGCUCUGGUGCUGACGGGGUGUGCUUCGUCGGCGGCAGCCGAGGCAGAGCCUGGGAGCAAAUUCGUGAACAGCCUGCGGCGGCUGAGUCACUUGCAGACGGAUCGUGCGCUGCUGCAGCAGCGCAUCUUCAGCCUAUGUGAUCGAGCGAUUGUGUCGCUGUGCUCUCAAGAAGAGGCUGCGGCAACAGGCGAUGGGGGCAUACCGUCUCGUCGAGAGAGUCCGUGGUGGUAUCGACCGCAGGAGCUGGUGCGUCUCUCGCAGGCGAUGCGGCUGAUUGAGGUCUACGAAGCGGAGCAGCAACGGGGCAGCAGGUACAGCAGCGGCACCGGAUCACCUGUCGAGCACUCCUUCCAUGGCGAAGGGGACGGACCACGCAGGCCAGGAAGCAGCGCCGCACGAACUUCGAGGAGGGACGCUGGCAAGACGAUGUCGAGUUCGUCAAACCCAGUACGGGGCACGCCGCCAAAUCGUGCCCAGACUGCGCCUGCGUUGCCCAAGGCCCGCUGGCUGCUUCGGCUGCCCACCACGUGGUGGCCCGCUUCUUCUGCAUCCCUCCAUGGGGCCCCUGCGGGCCAUCGAAAGACAGAGGCAGCUGUCCGGGCAAGGUGGCGGCUCGGUGCCUAUGUGACGCAUCACGCACUGCAGUAUACGUCUACAGUGACGCCGCCGCCGGUACCAUCGUAUGCAGUAUCGCCCGCCCUGGCGUCGAUCUCCCUUGCCGACGUCGAGGAUAUCUUCGCCGUGGUGUGCGCCACAGCGUCGUCUGUGGCCUCCACGGAGGCAGUGACCGCGUUCUCGUGGUGGGUGCGCGAUGUCUUCUUCCAGCCGCACCGACAUCGCAGUCUGCACGAUGUGCAGGAAAUGGCUGGGCUCCUUGGGAUCGCAGAGGUCUGCGUCGCGUACCCGGAUGGGACUCAGACGGUGCUCGCUGAAGUGCUCAAGUGUCUUCAGCGCUCUGCCCUCGUUUUGUGGUGCGUUGGUGACACGGCAGUGACUAGCGGACCCGACACGCCCGGGAUGCUGUGGUCACGCGCGUGCGAGGUCGUCGGCGAUGCACUGGCGCUCACGACUGUCCGCGCAGAGGCCCAACGCACGCUGCGAGCGCUGGCGCACACGGUAAGCCAGCACGCGUCCUCUUGUAUCGUGACAAGGAAGUCGAGCAGCGAGCUGGCGCGUCGGCAUCAGCGUUACGGCCUCUUGGUGCUCGCAUGCUUGCAGCUGCAGUCACCAGGCGGUACCAUCACACCGGCCCUGAAGCGGAUGAUUCUAGAGCUCGUUCUCUCUGCGCCGUUCCGCCGCGAUGAUGCUGAUCACGGGGGGCCGGCUGCGGUGGCGCGUGCGCUGUUCCUUUUCACGCGACCGGAACCGGCUCUUCGUGAGCCUGCAUCCACCCAAGGCGUGCCACGGUGGGAGCGAGUCAUUCGGCACCUUUUGAAUGAGCUGACACGGCUCGUCUCCCCGGCGGCUGCUGCGUUGGACGAUGGAGCGACCGCCGCAGUCGAGGAUGGCGGGGGCAGUGCGCAACUUCUGCAGCAGCUGACCUCAGCCGAGCGGCAAAUGCUGCGCUCCGCGCUGCAAGAGGUGCGGCUGCAGACGCAGCACGAGAUGAAGGAAAGGCCGCUGUGGGAACCCGUGGUAGCCCCCAGCGGCAGUGAAGCCUGUCCAGGUCAAGCAGCGCGUACGGCAUCCUUGCAGCUGCCCUUGUCGCUGCCAGUGACUGCGCAGGUUGGCGUUGUCAGCUCCGCGGAUGCCUCGACGCCGUCCUCCGAUCGACAAGCGGGUGCUGUAGAUGCAAAAAGCGGUCUGAGUCGGCUUCGCACCGAGUCCCACGAACGAACCCCUCGACAUCGCAUGCGCGCAUCCGAGGAACAUCUGCUGAUUCAGUCGGAGAUCGAUACCCUGACGCGCUAUCUCCGUCAGCGCCGCUCUCCCGGGUGAGCCACGGCGUCCUUUUCCACACCCCUUCUCUCGGGUGCGUUGCCCAAAUGGGCGAAGAGAAAACUCGAGCUGAUGUCGAUGUAUCCUCGUUUUGCUGUCAUGCGAAUGACCGCCUUCUCUCUGUCGCUGACGUUCCCUUUCCUUCCCCCGCUGGCCGAAGCCGCGGGUGCGAGUUUGUGUGUCGCGCACCGGAGUGUCCGGCUUUCCUCUUGCUGCUUCGACUUGCGUUCCCUCUUUCCGUUGCGUGUAGCUCCCUGCAGCAGUUCUCCAUCGCAAACGACGCGCGCAACGCACUGGCUGUGGGUCAACACCCCUUCGCACAUCACGACACGCACCCACAUAGUCGCAGGACAGCCACGCUGCCCUGCUGUGCGCGUGUGCAGAGGGGGAGGGCCCUUGUAAACGGGCUUCAUCCAUUGCCGUCUCGCGACAUAGCCUCUCUUCGGGGCGCGUCUCCGAGCGCUGGAAUGCGACUCCUAC
rnacentral:misc_RNA from 1 species